rnacentral:rRNA from 1 species
AUUGAACGCUGGCGGCAGGCCUAACACAUGCAAGUCGAACGAGUGGCGGACGGGUGAGUAAUGUCUGGGAAACUGCCUGCUUGAGGGGGAUAACUACUGGAAACGGUAGCUAAUACCACAUACCAUCAGAUGUGCCCAGAUGGGAUUAUCUAGUUGGUGGGGUAACGGAGUACCAAGGCGGCGAUCCCUAGCUGGUCUCAGAGGAUGACCAGCCACACUGGCACGGAGACACGGUCCAGAGUCCUACGGGAGGCAGCAGUGGGGAAUAUUGCACAAUGGGCGCAAGCCUGAUGCAGCCAUGCCGAGUGUAUGAAGAAGGCCUUCGGGUUGUAAAGUACUUUCAGCGGGGAGGCGUUACCCGCAGAAGAAGCACCGGCUAACUCCGUGCCAGCAGCCGCGGUAAUAC